AACUAACGCUGGCGGCGUGCCUAACACAUGCAAGUCGUACGAGAAAGCCGGCUUCGGCUGGUGAGUAAAGUGGCGCACGGGUGAGUAACGCGUGGAUAAUCUGCCCUUAAGUGUGGAAUAACGUACCGAAAGGUGCGCUAAUACCGCAUAAUGCCUGGCAACACAAGUUGUCCGGCCAAAGAAGGCCUCUGUUUACAAGCUUUCGCUUCAGGAUGAGUCCGCGUACCAUUAGCUUGUUGUGGGGUAAUGGCCUACCAAGGCUGCGAUGGUUAGCUGGUCUGAGAGGAUGAUCAGCCACACUGGAACUGAGACACGGUCCAGACUCCUACGGGAGGCAGCAGUGAGGAAUAUUGCGCAAUGGGGGCAACCCUGACGCAGCAACGCCGCGUGAGUGAGGAAGGUUUUCGGACUGUAAAGCUCUGUCGAGCGGGAAGAAGUGUACCAUGGCUAAUAUCCAUGAUAUUUGACGGUACCGCUAGGG
rnacentral:rRNA from 1 species